rnacentral:lncRNA from 13 species
CUGAAGUUCCAAGAGAACUGAAUGAAUGAAUUCAUUCGCUGAGUGGAUUUUUGGAGGGCACGCUUCAUCUCACCAGAAUUCCCUUUAAAACACUUCAUUCAUGACUUCCCUGUUGGUUUCUCACUCAGAUUCCUUUCUGGACAGAUGCCCGCCCUGCCAUUCCUGCUGAUUCAGCUGCUUUGCCCAGCAACCAAGGAACCAGGUUCCCCCAGCCCUUCCAUCCUCCAGGCAGCACUGGCCAGCUGAGCAGGACACUAGAACAUGGCAGCAGUGGCCCAUGGGAUGAGAUGAGGCCUCAAAAAUGGAUGCAUCUGGAGACCUGGCCUCCUCCUCCUCUUUGUACUGGCCCAACUCCAAAGCCUCUGUAGGGGCCAACCUGCUGGAAAAGAAUCUUGCUGAGAUCCAGAACCUGCGCCAGCACCUGGAGGAGUCCGUCACCGUCAAUGACCACCUGAGGGAGAGGCUCGAGCAUGUGCUCAGCCAUGGUGACCAAGGGAAAGGUGAACUUCAUUCAAGAGGAUGUCAGAACCUGCUUCUCAAUGUGAAUCAAGAUCGAGAAGUCGGUAGCCGCUACCGCUGAGCAGCCGGAGG